rnacentral:tRNA from 1 species
GCCGGAGUGGCGGAACAGGCAGACGCAAGGGACUUAAAAUCCCUCGGACAAACAAUUGUCCGUACCGGUUCGAUUCCGGUCUCCGGCACCA